ACGUACCUCACUAAAGUCAAGGCAUUGCAAUUAUACUAUAUUAUAUUAUAGAUCUAUAGAUUCAUAUUCAUGCUUCCGAGAACAACUCAAUGAUGAAUCUGUGAAAAUAUUUACGAGGAUCUCAUCGAACAUGAAAUUGAAAAUUUAAUUGAAGAUUUGGAGAAUUCUGCUCAAAACAAAGAAGAAGAAGAAAAAAAAAAAGGCUUCAAAAAUGAUUGUAAAAUGCAAAAAGUGACAAAGUGUUGGAACAAACCUUGGCUGGUGGAGAUCUGUGCUCUCUGGAUCUGUGUUCUAUCGAUUGAGGUCGACGCUUCUAGAGCUUUCCAACGCUGAAAGAAACUGGAGAACGGAGAAGUGAGGAAACGUCAAUAAACAUAUUUUAAAAAAAGAAAACAUUUCCGUGCCUGUAGCAACAAUACAGAUGUAAGUCAUGAAUGAAUGAAUGUACACACGGAGGUAAGUUUACCUCACAUUUACCACAAUUUACACAAUUCUCUCCCUUUUUUUCUGGAAAUUUCAGUUUUGGCUGCGGCUUCAAGGUCCGACGUCGCUCGUCAUGAAGACUCAGAGACUUGAGUUCAGAACCCGCUGAUCUCACUGUGACCGUGUUCCCACUUCCCCCACUAAUCUGCUCCAUCCUCUGUGAAGACCUGAGGUAAUCGGUGUGUGUGCGUGCGUGAAGGCCUUCACGUGAUCCACAUGUCCACGGAAGACCAAGCUGUGACGUCACUCAAACGUCAACAACUCCACUCUUUAGUUGUUUUUUAUUAUUGAAUAAAAUGAUGAGUUUUUCCACCUCAGUCGACAUCGUGAAGCCUCUGCAGAGAAAACAGAAGAAGUGUCUCGCUCUCUCAGGGACGCGCGCGCGCGGGCGCGUGCCUCUAGCCUCUGCGCGCUCAUUGGACGCCAGCGCUGUGUCCAAAUGUCUG